GUGCACUGCUUAUUUUCUAUGAAAGCUUGGUUUGAAGUAUGUGUUGGUUCCACCAAUAUUGUUUUUUUGACGAUGCCAAUGUUGUAUAUUGCAUAUGAAAGAUUGUUUUUUUAUUUCUUUCUAUUUGAUUAAAGAAAUAGGUUAGUAUUUGAUUCAUGAUAUGUUUGUGCAUUGGUAGAGUAAGAAAGACAGAUUACUUAAUUGUGUUGCAAUGCAGGGAGUGUAUUGAGCUAAAAUGGGUGUAACACAAUUUAGAAGUAGUCAAUUUGCAGUGAGAGCAUAUCAUCCCAGCAGAAUCAAGCAAACUUCCAUGAGGAGCCAAAUCAAUUGUUUGGGAGCUUCAAGGUCGAGUAUGUUCUCACAUGGUUCCUUGUCCAUGGCCGGAACGUCUAGAAAUAUGCAGAGUCACAGAGCGAAUACGUUUGAUUUCUUAUUUGGUAGAGACAAUACAGAUUACUAUUCCCUUCUUGGAGUUUCAGAACAUUCUACCCCAUCUGAGCUUAAAAAAGGUAUAUAUGAUCAAACCCCUCUGUGAUGACUUGGUACUACACUUUUUGGUAUGACAUUGAUUUGUUCUUACUCUUGUUUAAAAGCUUACCGGAGACUGGCUAAGACAUACCAUCCAGAUGUGAACAAGUAAGCCUCCAUCUUAUGAAAGGUCCAAAUGUUUUAUAUAAAGAAUCUUAAGCUUGCAGGGAUCCUGAUGCAGCAGAUAAAUUCAUAGAAAUAAAUAAUGCAUAUGAGGUCAAAUGAACCCUUUACUCCCUUUGUUCUAGAGAUGCUUUUUUUCUGUUGACUAAAAGAAGCAAAGCUUUUUUUUUUGUGGUUGGUGCAGGUGUUGUUAGAUGAAAUGAAAGCUGUUGACGAUAUUUGUGAGGAUGAAGUCUUAAUACCCAUCAAGAGGACUUGUUACGAUUGGUAUUCUCUAAAGACUCUUAUGGCCAAAUGCACCACUUGCGGCGGGCAAGGUCAUGUGUACACAUCAGUGAAAACUCCUCUUGGUAUGAAGCAAGAAGCCCUGACUUGCUCCUCCUGUAAUGGCACUGGCCAUGUCUUUGAUCUUCGAACAUCUGACAUCUCUUGAAGGCUUUAGUAGGCUCGUCUGUUUAGAACUUAACUAUUUAGUGACUAAUGCAUAAGUAUUUAUUUGACCAGUUCCUAAGCUCCAAUGCGUCUUCUUUCAAAAUAGAAAGGCAAAAAUAGUAGAGAUGGGGGUGAGAGAAGUUCGAACUCUCGACCUCAGGAUCACUCAGUAACAAUCGUGUGAUGUGAACAAAUUACACUACAAUAAACCAAAAGAUCUAACAUGAGGGAACACACAGAACACUUGUUAGGAUGUAGUACCACCUCCAUCCGACAUAAGAGAUGCCGCAGCCGCAACUCAACUCCCGUAGAUAUGAAGGGUUUCGACAAGUGCACAAGCCUGAAGGAAGCAAGGGGGAUGAAUCAGAUAAAGGACACAGACUAUCAUGAGUAAAAUAAAAUAGAUUACAAAAUAUUACGGCGCCAGAAAUUCACAGAAAGAUGAAACCGGAGCUGAAACUUCACCGUAGUUCCAGAUCGGGUGAUCACGGUCUAGUUUUCGAGGUUGAUGAAGAUUGCAGAAGCGAAGAACAACGUGAUGGGUCAGUUUCACAAUGCUCUCUACUUAGGAGAUGUUAAAGAGCGUGUUAAGAUACUGGAGAAGGCUGGUCAUUUGCCUCUAGCGUAUAUCACGGCUUCGGUUCAUGGUUUAAAUGACGUUGCUGAGAGACUAGCAACUGAACUAGGAGACAACAUGCCCGUAUUGCCUGAAGGGAAAACUCCGCCGCUUCUAAUGCCACCGUCUCCCGUCAUGUGUGGUGGUGAUUGGCCUCUUAUAGAGUGGUGAAAGGAUUAUUUGAAAGUGCAGGCAGAGGAGGGGCUGUUGAUGGCGAUUGGGGUGACAUGGUCGGUGUUGAUGGAAUGGAGAACAGAGGCAUGUGGAAGCAGAAAAAGCAGACGAAGAGCUCCCACCAGAGCUUGACACUCCUAAAGUCUAAUGCCAAGGCACGUUCAACCUAUCUUUGACACUGCAAUGCGUCUGGUCCACAGAUUGUAUGUUCUCCUGAUGAAUGUGAGAUAACCUUUGUAUAUAAAAUGGUUGAAACCUUCCUGUAACUG